rnacentral:rRNA from 1 species
CACGUAGGGUGCGAGCGUUGUCCGGAAUUAUUGGGCGUAAAGAGUUCGUAGGCGGUGUGUCGCGUCGGCCGUGAAAACCUGCAGCUUAACUGUGGGCUUGCGGUCGAUACGGGCAUCACUGGAGUUCGGCAGGGGAGACUGGAAUUCCUGGUGUAGCGGUGAAAUGCGCAGAUAUCAGGAGGAACACCGGUGGCGAAGGCGGGUCUCUGGGCCGAUACUGACACUGAGAGACGAAAGCUAGGGGAGCAAAUGGG